UACGUAGGGUGCAAGCGUUAAUCGGAAUUACUGGGCGUAAAGCGUGCGCAGGCGGUCUUGCAAGGCAGAUGUGAAAUCCCCGGGCUCAACCUGGGAACUGCAUUUGUGACUGCAAGGCUGGAGUGCGGCAGAGGGGGAUGGAAUUCCGCGUGUAGCAGUGAAAUGCGUAGAUAUGCGGAGGAACACCGAUGGCGAAGGCAAUCCCCUGGGCCUGCACUGACGCUCAUGCACGAAAGCGUGGGGAGCAAACAGG
rnacentral:rRNA from 1 species